rnacentral:rRNA from 1 species
AUCUGGGAUAAGCCGAGGAAACUUGGUCUAAUACCGGAUGCCUUCAUCUGAUCGCAUGGUCGGAUGAAGAAAAGAUUCAUCGCUUCGGGAGGGUCUCGCGGCCUAUCAACUAGUUGGCGGGGUAACGGCCCACCAAGGCGUCGACGGGUAGCUGGUCUGAGAGGACGAUCAGCCACACUGGGACUGAGACACGGCCCAGACUCCUACGGGAGGCAGCAGUGGGGAAUAUUGCGCAAUGGGCGAAAGCCUGACGCAGCAACGCCGCGUGCGGGAUGAAGGCCUUCGGGUUGUAAACCGCUUUCAGUGGGGACGAAAUUGACGGUACCCACAGAAGAAGCCCCGGCCAACUACGUGCCAGCAGCCGCGGUAACACGUAGGGGGCGAGCGUUGUCCGGAUUUAUUGGGCGUAAAGAGCUCGUAGGCGGCUCGGUAAGUCGGGUGUGAAAACUCUAGGCUCAACCUAGAGACGCCACCUGAUAUUGCUGUGGCUAGAGUCCGGUAGGGGAGCAUGGAAUUCCUGGUGUAGCGGUGAAAUGCGCAGAUAUCAGGAGGAACACCAGUGGCGAAGGCGGUGCUCUGGGCCGGUACUGACGAUGAGGAGCGAAAGCAUGGGGAGCAAACAGGAUUAGAUACCCUGGUAGUUCACGCCGUAAACGUUGGGAACUAGGUGUGGGGCCUUAUCAACGGGUUCCGUGCCGAACGCUAACGCAUUAAGUUCCCCGCCUGGGGAGUACGGCCCGCAAGGCUAAACUCAAA